CCCGCUUGGGUUUUCAGAUCUCCUGCCUCGGGGACUGCAGGGCCUGUGUUUAGGUAACCUUUAUUUUACUUAAUAAUGGUCCCAAAGCACAAGUCAGUGAUGGUGGCAAUUAGCAUAUGGCAGAGAGAAGCCUCCAAGUGCUUCUGUUAAGUGAAAAGGUGAAAGUUUUCAACUUGAUAAGGAAAGAAAAAGAACCGUAUGCCGCGGCUGCCAAGAUUUACGGAGUAAAGAAAGAAAAGUAUCUAUUAUUGCCAGGCAUACACUGAAUGGUGGCUUUAUUUGAACAACUCCCAUCUUCCUUUCUGAGGAGCAGCAUUCAAGUAGCCAAAGUGUCCUAAAGGAUCUGAUACAACAGCAGGAGUUUCCAGGUAGAGCCAGUGAUUGAGUCAGGUUCUGGGAAAUGAAAAUAAGUGAUCUGGAAGCCCCCAGCUUCUGGACAACCUUCUCUGGAAGUUGGAUAUCGUAAAGGUCCUGCACCCGAAGAGAGCUGUACUUAGAAAGAAGGUGCCUUGAGUUUUGAUGAGCGACAGGCUCUGUAAUCACCUCAGAGUAAAGAUGACAGCGCGUUUCUAGAGGCUGUUCCGUGCAGAUGAUGGCACAGUGCCAAAGCACAGGUCGGUGAUGCAGACCAUGCGGGCCAGGCUUCGAGUGGGGGCUGGAUCCUCUUAGGAUGGAAAUUCAAAAGGAGAAAAUGGUCCACAGGGGAGAGAGAAAUUAAGAAACACAUCUAAGGGAAAAGGGAGUUUUCUUUAAGAAAGCGUUCUGAGCACUUUGCAAUUUAGAAAGGAGCGUUGCCCCUCCACCCCGCCCCGAUAAACUGUUCUUUAUUUCUCUCUGUAGCAAACCAUAUUGCUGAUUAACCACUGCUUUCAUAAACUUCAAGUGGGCCAUUCACGCUGCCUCACUGCUGCUUAAUGUCCUGUACUGAGCUUGCUCUUCCCGCAGUGCCGGCCUCGUGUUUUGUUUUUAUUAGAAAUUCACCUCGCCUUGUCUACUGAGGGGAAGGAGAGGGGAAAUCACACCCCAGAGCUCCGCAAGCCCAUAAAAUGGCAGAGCUUCCUGGAGAAGGCUGUCCUGAACCCCAAGGCCCUGGCUGCCUGCGCCGUAAUGAAAUGCAUGACUACGGAAGACAAUAAUAAUUGCAGCGAAGGCUCGUUCCAGCUCCCGGAUGAUUUGGUGCUGUCAGGAGUGCGCUGUCCUCUGACAUCCCAGGAGGCGAACGGCACCAGUGACUGCAGGCCCUGAUUGGGGCAGUGAAAUAUUGCUGGCAAAAAUUAAAAGGUCCCCGUGUCAAAAUAAUUCAUGAUAUGCAUAUCUUCCAUUCUGAUGAAACGGCUGAUAUCCGGAUUAGCAAGAUAAUAAAACUGAUCAGGCUACAGUUAAACAAUUUAA